GAUGAACGCUGGCGGCGUGCCUAAUACAUGCAAGUCGAGCGAACGGACGAGAAGCUUGCUUCUCUGAUGUUAGCGGCGGACGGGUGAGUAACACGUGGAUAACCUACCUAUAAGACUGGGAUAACUUCGGGAAACCGGAGCUAAUACCGGAUAAUAUUUUGAACCGCAUGGUUCAAAAGUGAAAGACGGUCUUGCUGUCCCUUAUAGAUGGAUCCGCGCUGCAUUAGCUAGUUUGUAAGGUAACGGCUUAACAAGGCAACGAUGCAUAGCCGACCUGAGAGGGGGAUCGGCCACACUGGAACUGAGACACGGUCCAGACUCCUACGGGAGGCAGCAGUAGGGAAUCUUCCGCAAUGGGCGAAAGCCUGACGGAGCAACGCCGCGUGAGUGAUGAAGGUCUUCGGAUCGUAAAACUCUGUUAUUAGGGAAGAACAUAUGUGUAAGUAACUGUGCACAUCUUGACGGUACCUAAUCAGAAAGCCACGGCUAACUACGUG
rnacentral:rRNA from 1 species